AUUGAACGCUGGCGGAAUGCUUUACACAUGCAAGUCGAACGGUAGAGGGGGCAACCCCUCGAGAGUGGCGAACGGGUGAGUAAUAUAUCGGAACGUGCCCAGCCGUGGGGGAUAACGUAGCGAAAGUUACGCUAAUACCGCAUACGAUCUAAGGAUGAAAGCGGGGGAUCGCAAGACCUCGCGCGAUUGGAGCGGCCGAUAUCAGAUUAGGUAGUUGGUGGGGUAAAGGCUCACCAAGCCAACGAUCUGUAGCUGGUCUGAGAGGACGACCAGCCACACUGGAACUGAGACACAGUCCAGACUCCUACGGGAGGCAGCAGUGGGGAAUUUUGGACAAUGGACGCAAGUCUGAUCCAGCCAUUCCGCGUGCAGGAUGAAGGCCCUCGGGUCGUAAACUGCUUUUGUACGGAACGAAAAGGUCUCUCUUAAUACGGGGGACUCAUGACGGUACCGUAAGAAUAAGCACCGGCUAACUACGUGCCAGCCGCCGCAGUAA
rnacentral:rRNA from 1 species